rnacentral:rRNA from 1 species
CCUACGGGAGGCAGUAGUGGGGAAUAUUGGACAAUGGGCGAAAGCCUGAUGCAGCCAUGCCGCGUGAAGGAAGACGGCUUUCGGGUUGUAAACUUCUGUUCUUCGUGAAGAAUAAUGACGAUAGCUAAGGAGCAAGCCAUGGCUAACUACGAGGCAUCAGCCGCGGUCAUACGGAGGUGGCAAGCGGUGUCCGGGAUUACUGGGUGUACGGGGAGGGCGGGCGGGAUGCAAAGUAAGGUGUGAAAACUACGGGCUUAAGUUGUAGACUGCAGUUGAACCUGGUUUUCUUGAGUGAGGUAGAGGUUGGCGGAAUGCCGGGUGUAGCGGUGAAAUGCGUAGAUAUUCGGAAGAACACCGAUGGCGAAGGCAGCCAACUGGGCCGCAACUGACGCUGAUGCACGAAAGUGUGGGGAGCAAACAGGAUUAGAUACCCCAGUAGUC